UGCCUAAGUUGGAACUGCCGGGGGGUGGGAAACGCCCGGACAGUUCGCGACCUUGUGGCACUAGUAGGUGCUCAUUCUCCAAAGUUGUGUUUUUUGUGUGAAACUAGACAACCAAAAAAAAAAAUGUUUCGUCUUCGCACUCGGCUACGAGUUGCUGGUUUUGAGGGGGUUAGUAGUGAAGGUUAAAGUGGAGGUCCUGCUUUAUUUUGGCAUUAG
rnacentral:rRNA from 1 species